UACGGGGGGAGCAAACGUUGUUCGGAAUCACUGGGCGUAAAGGGCGUGUAGGCGGCUGGAUAAGUGGGAUGUUAAAUCCCCCGGCUCAACCGGGGACCUGCAUCUCAUACUGUUCAGCUCGAGCACAUCAGAGGAGACUGGAAUUCCCGGUGUAGCGGUGAAAUGCGCAGAUAUCAGGAAGAACACCCGUGGCUAAGGCGGCUCUCUAGUACGGUACUGGACGCUGAGACGGCGAAAGCGUGGGGAGCGAACAGG
rnacentral:rRNA from 1 species